UACAGAGGUCUCAAGCGUUGUUCGGAUUCAUUGGGCGUAAAGGGUGCGUAGGUGGGCAGUUAAGUCAGUGGUGAAAUCUCCGGGCUCAACCCGGAAACUGCCAUUGAUACUAUCUAUCUUGAAUAUCGUGGAGGUAAGCGGAAUAUGUCAUGUAGCGGUGAAAUGCUUAGAUAUGACAUAGAACACCAAUUGCGAAGGCAGCUUACUACCCGAAUAUUGACACUGAGGCACGAAAGCGUGGGGAUCAAACAGG
rnacentral:rRNA from 1 species